CAGGGUAUAGCUUAAGUCAAAGCCCUUCGCUUACACCGAACUAAUGUUCACUAAUAUGAACUACUCUGAG
rnacentral:tRNA from 1 species